UACGGGGGGAGCAAGCGUUGUUCGGAUUUACUGGGCGUAAAGGGCGCGUAGGCGGCGUGACAAGUCACUUGUGAAAUCUCCGGGCUUAACCCGGAACGGUCAAGUGAUACUGUCGUGCUAGAGUACAGAAGGGGCAACUGGAAUUCUCGGUGUAGCGGUGAAAUGCGUAGAUAUCAGGAGGAACACCGGUGGCGAAGGCGGGUCUCUGGGCCGAUACUGACGCUGAGGAGCGAAAGCGUGGGGAGCGAACAGG
rnacentral:rRNA from 1 species